AAAAAAGAAGAUUGUAGAAAUACAUAUAAAAACGUAAUAACUAUCACUCCAGAAAUUUCUGAUUGUGUGGAAUUUCUGAGAAACGCUUCUCCUCAAACAGACCAAGAAGCAAUCUUGGACAGAAUGAAAAAAACGUUCACUUAUAGGCGGUCCUUGGAUGUUAAUGUUUUAUCAAUCUUUCCGAGAUUUCUGGACACUCCAUAUCUUAUUGAACACGAUUUUCGAUUACUUUUUCCUGAUAAAGAACUCAGUUUUAUUGCCAAAAUAAACAAUGAUGCAGAGAAAAUUCUAAGUAUAUAUGAUAGUGAAGUAGCCACACCUGCCACAGAAAUAUUAGGUUCGACGGAAGGUUCAAGUGACAAAUUUGACAAAGUUACACGAUCUUUGUUAGCCCUAGCCAAACUUCUUCAAUGGAGGGUUAACUCAAAACAAGUGAGUGAUUUAAAUGGAUAUUCCUACUUUGAAAGGUUAAUCGUUUUUAAAAAGCUAAAUCAACCGGUCGCAGAAAUAUUAUCUUCACUUCAAAGAAAACAACCAUUUCUGUUGGCACAAGGGCAUAGUAAUAAGGGGGCAAUUACGAAGUACCACAUAGUGGUGGACAGACAGCUCAUCCCUUGCCCUGACCACUGUUCCAGUGCGGAGGCUUUCCAGUUGCUGUUUAUGACUCAUUAUGUGUUCAACAUAAGGUACGAUCACAAACUAAAAUUUUUUUGGGAAUUCAUACAAACCUAUUAUUUUGACAUUGAAACCGAAGGUAUAUUGUACA